GGACUACUGGGGUUUCUAAUCCCGUUCGCUCCCCUAGCUUUCGCACCCGAGCGUCAGUGACUCCCCAGGAUGGUGCCUUCGCCUUUGGUGUUCUUCCGGAUCUCUACGCAUUUCACCACUCCACCCGGAAUUCCCCAUCCCUCUGAAGCCCUCAAGUCCAACAGUUUCCACAGGCCUGACACAGUUAAGCUGUGCCCUGUCCCUGCAGACUGAUUGGACCGCCUGCGUGCGCUUUACGCCCAGUAACUCCGGACAACGCUCGCCUCCUACGUAUUACCGCGGCUGCUGGCAC
rnacentral:rRNA from 1 species